rnacentral:rRNA from 1 species
UACAGAGGUCUCAAGCGUUGUUCGGAUUCAUUGGGCGUAAAGGGUGCGUAGGUGGCAUGGUCAGUCGGAUGUGAAAUCCCGGGGCUCAACCCCGGAACUGCAUUCGAUACUGCCGCGCUAGAGUACUGGAGAGGAGAUUGGAAUUACGGUGUAGCAGUGAAAUGCGUAGAUAUCGUAAGGAAGACCAGUGGCGAAGGCGGAUCUCUGGACAGUUACUGACACUGAGGCACGAAGGCCAGGGGAGCAAACGGG